rnacentral:rRNA from 1 species
UACAUGGGGUGCAAACGUUGCUCGGAAUCAUUGGGCGUAAAGCGCGCGUAGGUGGUUACUUAAGUCGGAUGUGAAAGCCCUCGGCUUAACUGAGGAAGUGCAUCCGAAACUGAGUAGCUGGAGUACGAAAGAGGGUCGCGGAAUUCCCGGUGUAGAGGUGAAAUUCGUAGAUAUCGGGAGGAACACCGGUGGCGAAGGCGGCGACCUGGGUCGAGACUGACGCUGAGGCGCGAAAGCGUGGGGAGCAAACAGG